rnacentral:rRNA from 1 species
ACGGGAGGCAGCAGUGGGGAAUAUUGCACAAUGGGGGAAACCCUGAUGCAGCGACGCCGCGUGAAGGAAGAAGUAUUUCGGUAUGUAAACUUCUAUCAGCAGGGAAGAUGAUGACAGUACCUGACUAAGAAGCCCCGGCUAACUACGUGCCAGCAGCCGCGGUAAUACGUAGGGGGCAAGCGUUAUCCGGAUUUACUGGGUGUAAAGGGAGCGUAGACGGCGAGGCAAGUCUGAUGUGAAAGGCUGGGGCUCAACCCCGGGACUGCAUUGGAAACUGUUUUGCUUGAGUGUCGGAGGGGUAAGCGGAAUUCCUGGUGUAGCGGUGAAAUGCGUAGAUAUCAGGAGGAACACCGGUGGCGAAGGCGGCUUACUGGACGAUUACUGACGUUGAGGCUCGAAAGCGUGGGGAGCAAACAGGAUUAGAUACCCUGGUA